rnacentral:rRNA from 1 species
UACGUAGGGGGCAAGCGUUGUCCGGAAUCAUUGGCGUAAAGCGCGUGUAGGCGGCUCGAUAAGUCUGCCUGUGAAAGUUCAGGGCUACAACCCUGAAAUGCCGGUGGAAACUGUCGAGCUAGAGUACGGAAGAGGUGAGUGGAAUUCCUGGUGUAGCGGUGAAAAUGCGCAGAUAUCAGGAGGAACACCAAUGGCGAAGGCAGCUCACUGGGACGUUACUGACGCUGAGACGCGAAAGCGUGGGGAGCAAACAGG